CAAUAGCGUAUAUUAAAGUUGUUGCAGUUAAAAAGCUCGUAGUUGGAUUUCUGCCAGGGUGCCAAUGUCCGCCGAAGUGCGUGCGCAGCGGCGCCCUCGCAUCCUUCUGUUAACGCCUCUCGGCAUUUACUUGCCGGUGGUGGGCUCAGAUAAUUUACCUUGAGAAGAUUAGAGUGUUUCAGGCAGGCUAGGCCGGAAUACAUUAGCAUGGAAUAAUGGAAUAGGACUACGGUCUCGUUGUUGGUUUGAGGGACUGGAGUAAUGAUUAAUAGGGAUAGUUGGGGGCAUUAGUAUUUAAUUGUCAGAGGUGAAAUUCUCAGAUUUGUUAAAGACUAACUUAUGCGAAAGCAUUUGCCAAGGAUGUUUUCAUUAA
rnacentral:rRNA from 1 species